rnacentral:rRNA from 1 species
GCGUGACCAACCUGCCCCAUGCUCCAGAAUAGCUCUUGGAAACGGGUGGUAAUGCUGGAUGCUCCAACUUGACGCAUGUCUUGUUGGGAAAGUGUUUAGUGGCAUGGGAUGGGGUCGCGUCCUAUCAGCUUGUAGGCGGGGUAAUGGCCCACCUAGGCUUCGACGGGUAGCCGGCCUGAGAGGGCGGACGGCCACAUUGGGACUGAGAUACGGCCCAGACUCCUACGGGAGGCAGCAGUGGGGAAUAUUGCGCAAUGGGGGAAACCCUGACGCAGCGACGCCGCGUGCGGGAUGAAGGCCUUCGGGUUGUAAACCGCUUUUGAUUGGGAGCAAGCCUUUUGGGUGAGUGUACCUUUCGAAUAAGCGCCGGCUAACUACGUGCCAGCAGCCGCGGUAAUACGUAGGGCGCAAGCGUUAUCCGGAAUUAUUGGGCGUAAAGAGCUUGUAGGC